CGCGAAGAACCUUACCAGCCUUUGACAUGGCAGGCGAUUUCCAGAGAUGGAUCUCUCUCAGCAAUGAGCCUGCACACAGGUGCUGCAUGGCUGUCGUCAGCUCGUGUCGUGAGAUGUUGGGUUAAGUCCCGCAACGAGCGCAACCCUCGCCUUUAGUUGCCAUCAUUCAGUUGGGCACUCUAAAGGGACUGCCGGUGAUAAGCCGCGAGGAAGGUGGGGAUGACGUCAAGUCCUCAUGGCCCUUACGGGCUGGGCUACACACGUGCUACAAUGGUGGUGACAGUGGGAUGCGAAAGGGCGACCUCUAGCAAAUCUCCAAAAGCCAUCUCAGUUCGGAUUGCACUCUGCAACUCGAGUGCAUGAAGUUGGAAUCGCUAGUAAUCGUGGAUCAGCAUGCCACGGUGAAUACGCUCCCGGGCCUU
rnacentral:rRNA from 1 species